GUCAGAUGUCAACUGACUGAGCCACCCAGGUGCCCCAAUACUGAACUAAUUUAAGUCAGGAAAUUAGAUGAUCAUAUUAGGAGUUUUGAAAAAUAACUGACCCCAGGAUGAUGUGGAUUGGAAGGAAUGAAAUUAGAAUGGCUGUGCAGGAUUCUGCAUGGGAAAUGGUGGUACCUGAACUAAGGGUCUGGCUAUGAGGAGAUGGCCUGAUUCAAAGGCACCUUUUAGGAGAUAAAUUUGACAGGACUUAGUGACCAACUGGUGCCUAAAGGUGAGAGAGAGGGAGAAAUCAAGGGUGACUCCCUGGUCUCCAGCUUAGGUGAUGAAAUGAAUGGUGUUGCCUAUUACAGGGACAGAAGAAGCAGGUGAAGAACAAGUCUGAAAUGUAAAUAUGAUGGGCUCAGUUCUGCACAUGUACAUUUAGGAGGACUUUGGGGGCUCUUGUUGGAAAAGUCCAGUAAGAAAUAGGGGACUGCAAUCGUGGAAAGAAAUUUAGGCUGGAGAGUAAAUGUGGAUCAGAUGAAACUGUCCAGAGGGAGGAGGGAAGAGAACAGGAAAGAGAAAGAAGAGCCUUUGAUGAGACAGAAAAGGAAUGGCCAGGGGAAGGGAAAACAAGAAACAAAGGUGUCACUGGGGAGGUGUUGUUCAGAAGUGUCAAGGGCAACAAGAGGACAAACCAGCCCCCCAUCAGACUUGCCAUUACUGUCUGCAACUCGUUCUGCUCAGGCUCUCAACAAGCCAGGUACUGAUCAUGCCAGCAGGAGGAAGCCCCGUCCUGCAGCCCAUCAACAGCUGGAGGUGCCCCAGGCCCUGGUCUCAACCCCUUUUAUGUCUAAUUGGCUGUGUGAUCUCAGAGGAAAAUAAACCUAGGGCCUCAGUUUUGCUUAUCUCAUCAG
rnacentral:lncRNA from 1 species